AUGCAAGUCGAGCGGACAGAUGGGAGCUUGCUCCCUGAUGUUAGCGGCGGACGGGUGAGUAACACGUGGGUAACCUGCCUGUAAGACUGGGAUAACUCCGGGAAACCGGGGCUAAUACCGGAUGGUUGUUUGAACCGCAUGGUUCAAACAUAAAAGGUGGCUUCGGCUACCACUUACAGAUGGACCCGCGGCGCAUUAGCUAGUUGGUGAGGUAACGGCUCACCAAGGCAACGAUGCGUAGCCGACCUGAGAGGGUGAUCGGCCACACUGGGACUGAGACACGGCCCAGACUCCUACGGGAGGCAGCAGUAGGGAAUCUUCCGCAAUGGACGAAAGUCUGACGGAGCAACGCCGCGUGAGUGAUGAAGGUUUUCGGAUCGUAAAGCUCUGUUGUUAGGGAAGAACAAGUACCGUUCGAAUAGGGCGGUACCUUGACGGUACCUAACCAGAAAGCCACGGCUAACUACGUGCCAGCAGCCGCGGUAAUACGUAGGUGGCAAGCGUUGUCCGGGAAUUAUUGGGCGUAAAGGGCUCGCAGGCGGUUUCUUAAGUCUGAUGUGAAAGCCCCCGGCUCAACCGGGGAGGGUCAUUGGAAACUGGGGAACUUGAGUGCAGAAGAGGAGAGUGGAAUUCCACGUGUAGCGGUGAAAUGCGUAGAGAUGUGGAGGAACACCAGUGGCGAAGGCGACUCUCUGGUCUGUAACUGACGCUGAGGAGCGAAAGCGUGGGGAGCGAACAGGAUUAGAUACCCUGGUAGUCCACGCCGUAAACGAUGAGUGCUAAGUGUUAGGGGGUUUCCGCCCCUUAGUGCUGCAGCUAACGCAUUAAGCACUCCGCCUGGGGAGUACGGUCGCAAGACUGAAACUCAAAGGAAUUGACGGGGGCCCGCACAAGCGGUGGAGCAUGUGGUUUAAUUUCGAAGCAACGCGAAGAACCUUACCAGGUCUUGACAUCCUCUGACAAUCCUAGAGAUAGGACGUCCCCUUCGGGGGCAGAGUGACAGGUGGUGCAUGGUUGUCGUCAGCUCGUGUCGUGAGAUGUUGGGUUAAGUCCCGCAACGAGCGCAACCCUUGAUCUUAGUUGCCAGCAUUCAGUUGGGCACUCUAAGGUGACUGCCGGUGACAAACCGGAGGAAGGUGGGGAUGACGUCAAAUCAUCAUGCCCCUUAUGACCUGGGCUACACACGUGCUACAAUGGACAGAACAAAGGGCAGCGAAACCGCGAGGUUAAGCCAAUCCCACAAAUCUGUUCUCAGUUCGGAUCGCAGUCUGCAACUCGACUGCGUGAAGCUGGAAUCGCUAGUAAUCGCGGAUCAGCAUGCCGCGGUGAAUACGUUCCCGGGCCUUGUACACACCGCCCGUCACACCACGAGAGUUUGUAACACCCGAAGUCGGUGAGGUAACCUUUUAGGAGCCAGCCGCCGAAG
rnacentral:rRNA from 1 species